CACAAGAGUUGUGGGACAGUUAUUUUCUCAAAGAGUUCAUCUCUCUCUAAAAUUCUUCAUGGUAUCAGAGCAAAACAUCGAUCCCAAUCUCAGUUUUUCAUGCUAUAAGUUGUUCCUCAAUCCAAAAUUAGUCUCUCACUCUCUUUUCAGUACAUGUUUCGUUUUGGAAACUUCUUAAAAAUCUCGUGCACAUUUUUCCUCUCUACAACUGGAUUUCUUUCUUGCUUACUUCUUUGCAUCCAUGGUUUUGCACCCAUCUUCCAUCCAUGGUUUUUCAUCAUCCUUCUUGCAUACGUCUUUGCUUCCAUCGUUUUGCACCCUUUUAGUUCCACAUCAUUUUGUUUUUUCCUCCAUGUCGCUCACCAUUACAAAUUG
rnacentral:lncRNA from 1 species